GUGCAGUGUAGUCACUUAGCCUGUGUGCAGCUGGGGCCUGGCGAGGAUAGACACCACACACUGUGCGGCUUUAUAAAAGAUUCAGUUCUGCCAUCUCCAGGGGUGAGGAAGAAAAUCCCCGCGCAGGUCACAGGAUUCCUUCUGUUCUGGUUGACGCUGACUAAAGGCUUCAAGUACAGCUUUUAAGAGUCAGCCUCCCUGAUCCACGGUGGGCACUUAUUAGGCAGAUGAUUUCUGUGGCUGAUAACCACUUGGUUAUACUAAUAUAACCACAUUAUACGAGGUGAAGAUGGUGUCUGUGUCUAUGGAAGAUGGGGGCGGGGUGGGGGGGAAACACCAAAGAUUCCUUGGGUUGGGUGGAGGGCGCUGGGUCAAAUGAUCAGGAGGCACCGAGGUUUAGAGAGUGUGCAAGACAGGGGACAUCAAGGGAGAAAAGUAACAGGUAGGAAAAGUUGAAGAAGCCAAGGCACCCAGGUCUUUGUGUGCAAAUAUGCAGCGAGGCAGCUUCUACAAGCGCUGAAGGAGAAGACUGAGGCAGAAGAGCUAGUUACAGCUAACACAACGGAGGGCCCCGCACACCCAUUCUGACUGUAGCGCUCGGGGCCACCCGGUGACCUUCGGAGAAGGAAGUUGGUGGAUCCUCUCGCUUCCCUGGAAAGGCAGCUGGGCGCGGGGUAGGGUGUGCGGAGCGCGGUUCUGCCGCUCUCGGCCAUGGCGGGGCAGAUGAAAGCCGCAGAUUUCCGCUCGCAAGCCCGGGACUAGGGCCGGGACCGCAGGCACCUUCCGGGCCGGGAGUUCAAGCUCCGGCUGCUCCAGAGUCAGCGCUCCUCCGCCUGGGCCGCGCGCCUGCUCCGCUCUCCUCGCGAGCCGAGAAAUCCCAGCGCUGGGGCCGACGUGCGCCCCUCGCUCCGCUCCGCUCACGCCCGCCUCUGCCCGCCUCCUCCAGCCGGCCGGGCACCGGGAGCCGGGCGCCAAGGCCGCCCCGCCGAGCCAAGCUUGCAGCCCCGACCGCUUCCCGAAAGCAGGAGGGAAGAACCGCAGCACCCGCCCGCCCGCGCCUCCCAUCCGGCGCUUUGCCAGCAACAAACACAAACUUUCCCAAGCCCCUCCCCGCUCCAGGUAACGGAGGCAGCGCUGGGACCACCCGCUUAAAGGGGAGGAGGCUUCGGAGCCCACCCAGCUCUCCCCCCUCGGGGCCCUCGCCCCGCCACAAACUUUCCUCCGACCUUUAAAAGUUGGCCUUGGAAAGACUCGUCUGGAAAUCCCAUCGCUUGAGCGCCAUUCCUAGCCACCCCGCGUCCCACCACUCUGGAGUCCCCACGUGGGCCUCCGGGUCCCUCUGCUAACUCCCCGCACGGUCACCGACUCGUCCCGAACGAAGCACCCACCAACUAGCCGCUAGGACUUGGCUAAAUAUUAUCCAGAUAGGACUGAAAGAGAUGAAAGGACUGUAAACGCCUGGGAUGCCAGCCUCCAAGGUGCAGAGGCGUGAAGUGUUUGGAUGCCUAGUCCGAAGAUUCACAGCGAAGUGUCAAGACCAAAACCCAGAUCUCACAGGCUCUGCUCACUGCCCUGUGGUUGGGUAGGCCUCGCCUCCCGUCGCCCACCUCCUUCCUUCCUUCUCCCGGGUGCCUAUGGCACUGAUUAACACUUACCACAAAUAGACCCGUGGUGGGGGGGAUGCGGACGCUCAGAACCCAAGUGUAUUAAUAGCUUCAGUACUUCAUAUGGAAUGUACUCUUUAAACUUUUUAUUUAUUGCUUUAAGUGGACAGAACUGGUUGCCAAUAAAGAUUCUUUUCUUCCCCUACAAUGGGGCUUUGUGCUUUUAAUUUGAAUACAAAAGACCCAGUAUUAGGGGGAAAUUUUUAGUGUUCAUUGUUUAAAACUUCUCAAUGAUAAUUCAAACACAGCACUGGUGUCCCCCACCCCAACCCCCCAGUGCCACAGCCUCUCAUUAAUAUAUGCAAAACAAAGCAAAGAUGUUAGUGGGGAACUGCCCCAACUAGGGAGAGGAACUUUGCUUUUACCUCAGUACAUCAUUAUUUCCACUAACAAGUGUCUCUUAUUUCCACUAACAAAAGUGCCUUUGGUCAGGUAUGAACCCAUCUGCAAGAGACUUAAAAAUUUGUCCCUGAUGGGCCAAUAAUGCGAGUGUACUUAAUGCCAUUGGACUGUAGACUUUAAAAACAGUUAAAAUGGUAGAUUCUGUGUUAUAUAUGGGACUUUCUAGUUGCUCAGUGGUGAAGAAUUUGCCUUCCAAUGUAGGAGAUUCCAGUUAAAUCCCUAAGUUGGGAAGAUCCCCUGAAAAGGGAAAUGGCAAUCCACUCCAGUAUUCUUGCCUGGAGAAUCCCAUGGANNNNNNNNNNNNNNNNNNNNNNNNNNNNNNNNNNNNNNNNNNNNNNNNNNNNNNNNNNNACUAAACAACAAAAGGUUGUAUAUGUUUCAACAUGCUAAAAAAAAUUUUUUUAAUUUAUUUUUGUCACCAAGCCUUUCUUCAUGCUAUUCACCCACCCAGCAGUUCCUUUGCAUUUCCCAUCCCAUGGAAUCCUCUAGAAUUUCUCUGGGAAGUCUUUCAAUUUAAUUCAAUCAGCCUUAAAUGCAAGCCUCAUGUUAGGCCUUGAGAGAUGCUGAAGCUACAGAGAAGAAUAAGACCUGACCCCUCCAGAAACUCAAAUCUUUCCCUUUCUUAACUACCCACAGUGCUUAACAUUUGAAGCACACAUUCUGGCACUUGGUCACAUUCAGUUUAGCCCAUGCUACGCACUGAAUGUACUGUGUCCCCCAACCAAACUCAUAUUGAAGCCCUAAUCUCCAAAGGUAUUUGGAGGUGGGGACUUCAGGGAGUAAUUAAGUCCAGAGGAUGGAGCCCUCAUGCAUGGGAUUAGUGCCCUUAUAAGUAGAGACGUGAGAGGCAUUAUACCUAUAUCUAUGCUGUGUGAGGAUACAGCAAGAAGGCAUUUGUCUGCAAACCAGGAGAGGGCCCUCACCAGGUACUGAAUGGGCCAGCAUCUUGAUCUUAGACUUCACAGCCUCCAGAAGUGGGAGACAUAACUGUCUGUUGUUUAAGCCACCCAGUUCAUGAUAUUUGUUAUAUCAGCUCAAGCUGACAGCAAACACAGUGCUCCCAUCUCUGUCUAAUAGUGGGAGAGAGAGACUGUCAUGUGCUCGUCUUAUGUUUCACAUCACUGUAGAGUCGAUAUUUGCUAAAAAGUAUUGUUUAACAAAGUGCGUGUCAGGAAGUGUGCCUGGCACAUNNNNNNNNNNNNNNNNNNNNNNNNNNNNNNNNNNNNNNNNNNNNNNNNNNNNNNNNNNNNNNNNNNNNNNNNNNNNNNNNNNNNNNNNNNNNNNNNNNNAAAAGUAUUGUUUAACAAAGUGCGUGUCAGGAAGUGUGCCUGGCACAUGGUAGGUCUUCAGUUAAUAUUUGUGGAGUAAACUAAUGCCACUUACUGGGCUCGAGCCUGGGGAAACAAAGGUAAAUAUAACCGUUCCUGCCCUUGAGGUGCUUACAGUCUGUGCAUCCUGACUCAGUAGGUGUGACAGCACUGCCAGAUGCAGUUGCCAGUCCUGAGGAAGCUUGUCCAAAAAAGCUCAGUGGGGAUGACUGUGAACCGAGUCUUGAACGACCAGCAGGUCUCUAGCUGUGAGGAGGACGGAUGAGCCAGCAAUAGCCAUUGUGUAUUCAAUGUGGAAGGGAUUCUUCUCUCCUCCCUUCCCCACACCCAGAUAUUAUUAAAUUAAUGGUGCAUCUUACAGUCAUUGAAACAGCAGUAGUUGGUUGAAAUGGAAAGAAGAAAUAAGACUGUCCAGGCAGGGCCAGAACAAUGAGGACAAAAGUGGAUGGUUUCUUGGUAGUGGGUAGUCAACUGUGUCAUGUCAUGAGAGUCAGCCCUAGAUAACCGUUUAUGUAGCAGAAAAUGAGGCUAAAUUAAUCACUACAGGUGCUUGGACAUAGCACCACACCCUUUGCACAGCCCUGACUACCAGAGGAUGGAAUAUGUUUCCAGCUAAAGGAACAUAGCACCUGAAACCGACCGACACAAUGUGUUAAGUCAUAACUCUGGAAUGUGAUGAUGCUUUCAUUAUAAAAGACUUUUAUUAAUAUUUUCCGAGUCAGUAACCCCAUGUAUAGGUAAGGCUCUUGCCCCAGCCAAUUGUUCCCAGUUUUCUUAGUCUGCAGGCUUGCCUGGGGCAGGAAGGCUCACUCUCCAGUAACUGAUCCACACCCAUCCCCAAGGAGGGGAGUCCCGCCUCAGUAGGUUUCCUGCCAGAUCACGGAGACCCUCAGAGGCUCAGGUUACAGCAGCCAACCAUUACAGUCUUUUGAUUACUGGGAUCUGUCUGCAGGCGUUGCCCCUGAAAACCCCUGAGGGUCCCGCAUUCUCACUUGUAACAGGUUUUCCUGCUGAGGUCGGUAAAAUCACCUUACCGGUUAAAGGUGAACAUGCAAAUGUCAAAAGGUCCCAAUGAAUGAAUUUGCCAGAUUAUCCUAAGAGUCGCCCAGACCCUGUGCGUUACCUGUGCUGCUUCCGUCAGCCCAUUCUCUCUCUCUCCUUCCCUCGCUUUCUCUCUGCCUCUCUCUGUUUCUCUACAGAUGACCCUGAUGCUNNUUUAGCAGAGUGGCCAGCAAAAGAAUGUGUUCUACAGCAACAUUUCCUUCCACUAAUCAUUUUCACUACGUUUCCUUUGUAUUGGUUCCAGGUGUCUGUUUCUCCUAUUGAAGUUAAACACGGGGAUUCCUAAUCAAAAAGAACUUUAAGAUUUAAUCACAGAAUUAGAGAAUGGAAUUAAGAGUUAAAAAGGUAGGGGUUGGGGAGAGGAAGCCUUCAUUUCCUGAUGAGUGAAAGUCAUUCAGGGAGGCCAUGAGGGAAGUUGUGGAAUGCCCAUCUGACAAGUUUCAAAAACAGAAAAGGGCCUUACGUGCCUGGAAUGGGUUAAGCAUGGUCCUGCCAAAGGCUGUGCUCUGUGACCUCUGGCCUCAAAGACCAAAAUGGGAGAUAACAGAGAAAGUGUCCUUAGAUGUCUAGAACUGGCCCUGAUUCCAGACCAGGAG
rnacentral:lncRNA from 1 species